GCAAGCAGGCCCCUCUCGUUUCGUCUCUCUUUCCCCGACCUCCCCUCGCUGCCGCCGCCACUGUCGAUGCCAACCUCCAACGAUGGUGUUCCUCUCUCACCCGAGCGACAAAAGGCACCCCCGCCGGCAGGUACACGUCAGACACGCACGAGGGGCCGGCCGACCGUAAGAAAAAGAUGGCUAUGGUGGACGAGUCACCGCCACCGACACACGUCCCAAACCAGUGGGUCGCCUUCUGUACCGACCACUCCUGGUCGCAGCGCGUGCACGGCGUUCUCCUACAUCUCAGCGAUGCGGGCAUCGCGGCCUUACUGAGGGAGUUGAAUUGGAAGGUUGGAGACGGCGCACACGGCUAGGUAGCUCAUGAGGGUCCGAUGGGGCGAGCAGCGAGGGCGGCUACCUGCAGAGGAGGAGAGCUCGAGACAAGCAACAUUGGAGGAAUGAUGGCGAUUAUCUCCAUAGUGCAGGGACUCCUAAUCAUCCCUCCACUGUUCUUCUUGGCUUCAGGGACUACCAUUGGGCAGUCUCUUCUUCUCCAUGGUGCUCCAGCAACUGCACAAAGAGGUCAGUUAUCUCGACCGGUGCCCCACAACUCAGGCCGGAGAUGAUAGAAGGAUCUGCACAAGAGGACAUGUCUCUGGACAGCCGCCAAGUGUUCUCCGUGCUAUGCUACUGCAUGAAUCGCCUCCUGGCCAGGUAACAGUUACAUUAUAAAUCUGAAAUGCAUAAGGAGCACUAAGCAUAAGACAUUAGGGAUGAUUAGGGUUGGUUUGUUCCGUGUUAAGAAGUAAGGUUUUUCUUUUGGCUUGGCAUAUGCUUCUUAGGUGGUUUUAUCUGCCCAAACAGGGCGCUCAAAGUGUGAAUUGGGAUCACUCCUCCAAGAAGACAAGAAACUAAAUUUUAUGUGUCCAAAAGCAAAUGCUAGCUCUUGAGUUAUUCUCUACCAGUCUGCAUAUCCACUCCUUCGUAUGUUCUAAUGCACCAUGGUUAUCACUUAGUUGAACUUGCUAUUUUAGUGAUAUAAUUUUUUUCAAUAUAACUUUGUUUAUCAAGCUGAUCAAAUUUCUCUUUUUUAUUGCACUUCUUCUAUUUUUUCUAAAGAACAUAACUAACAUAAUUUGAUUGUCCGUUCUUCAAGUUUUGAGCAUAAUUGGUUUCUGACUGUGAGAGUAUCAUUUACAAUGUAAAAGGAGGUACCACACAUAACUAGACAUAUAGAGCGAAUUCGCUCAGUCUGUGUCACACGACAUCCAUCCCAUCGGCCACGAUAGUCACAAGACUACCCCGCAGAUGGAUGUUGCAGCCAGUGGCCAUGACGAGGCUUAUGCCUUCAUGGAGGUGCAGUACCGGAUGCUGAGAGAAAAUGUUACCCACUCGGCUACAAGGAUAACUGGGAGGAGGAAGAACCGAGCCACAUGGGUAACUCGAAGGGAAAAAAAAUCAGUGGCGCCACCGUCCAUUCUCAUGCCUCCCCUUCUACAGAUACACAACCACUGCCCUUGCUGCUUCUCAACUCCACCUUUGUCCUUGGUACCAUCAGCAUUGACGCAGUCGUCCAUCUGCAUGCCGCAUCAGCGAAGAAGUAGGCACAUCAACUAUGUGCUGAUGCCGAGUUUGCAUCUAGGCAUCAUGUAUGUUGCUUUGUUUCUCCUGUACUACUGCUGGCACAAAUAUUUCUGUUGACUUUGUCAUUUUUUUUGCUUACUAUUGGAUCUUAGUCUGGAUUGUGCACCCUGAUUCCACCUGUUUUUUUUCAUGUGAUUUGGUUUGGUGGAUUUGGAGCAAGGAUUUGGUUGCUGCUAAAAUAAGAAUGCUUGGGAGAUUCAUGGAGCAACAAACAUGACAUGAUCAAAUCAAACCAUUUAAUUGGAGACAAGGAUUGCUGAGUACAAAGGAUUGUAAUUUUGGCCUUCAGUACUAUUGAUGUGCGUCUUUUUUCAAUUUUCAGUGUUUAAAUUUGUUAUGUUGUGCUAUCUGGUGGAAUCUAGAAUGUGAGCAGUUGGGCACCGAUAAUAGGAACAGGAAUGGUUCUGCCGAUGAAGCAUUUUUAUAUUUGUUUUGAUACCAUGUAAUGUAAGCGCAGUUUCAGAUUGAAGAAUGUUGUUCUAA